CCUCAUCCAAAUUGUUGAUAAAAUAAACAAUAAAAUUCAACAGAAUAGUAUCAACAACAGAAUUCUAGAAUUAUGGAGUCUUCUCAGUGGAUUAUGGUACGACAGCAACUUAAUUUCAGGAUGGAAGAAGAGUGCCUCUCUUUUUUUAAGUGGGACCAAAUGAGUCACUAACUUACCUGGGGAUGUCUACGUUAGAAAAACAGAGCAAGUCAAAACCCCCCAGGAAGAUGAAUGGUGAGGAAGAUCAAUGAAUGGCAACUGUAUGUCCAGCCCAGGUAAAACAGUGAGUUCCAAUCUCAAAACAACAGCCACCAAAAAGAUCCAACUCCAGAAAAGGUUGAAAGAAAAAAAAAAAAAAAAAACAAGCAAAGGAAGAAUAGGAGAAUCACAAGACAUCAAAGUGUCAAGGGAUUUCAGAAGUCAGUCAGCUAGUGCAACCUGUGUCUGAAUAGGAAUCCUUCUUCAAUAUAACUGAUGCUGCCUGUCCAUCUUUGCCAGGACCUACAAUAAAAUCAUAAAACUUUUAAAAUUUUGGAAGGAAAUUUAUACUAUUCAAAAGAGGGGAGGGACUUUAUUAGGGGCAGGAAAGUAAGGCAAAGAUCACCAGUCCCAUUCAGAUCAUUUCACUCUUGUUCAAGGAGGCUUCCCAGUAAUUUUUAUGGACCAUUUGAAUUAAAUAAAAUUAUGAUGGGAAUUAAAGGAAUUGAGAUGCAUUUCUCAUUGACUCAAAGAACAGAUUGAGUUGUAGUACAAAAAAUAGAUGUAAGGUC
rnacentral:lncRNA from 1 species